UACGAGAGGCCCAAACGUUAUUCGGAAUUACUGGGCUUAAAGAGUUCGUAGGCGGCGCAGAAAGUAGGGUGUGAAAGCCCUCGCUUAACCGAGGAAUUGCGCCCUAAACUACUGUGCUUGAGGAACCUAAAGGUGAGCAGAACAGAUGGUGGAGCGGUGAAAUGCGUUGAUAUCAUCUGGAAUACCGGAGGCGAAGGCGGCUCACUGGGGGUUUUCUGACGCUGAGGAACGAAAGCCAGGGUAGCGAACGGG
rnacentral:rRNA from 1 species